GAAAUGAGGUGGACAAAGUUAGAUCACAAUCCACAGGAACAUGGAGGAGAGCUAUGCAAAUCAGCCUGAGGUUUUCAGAAUGUGUUCCUAGAUGAGAAAACGUCUCAUGAACUGAGUUCUUUACGACGGGUUUAACAGAUCUUAGGCUUUCAUUCACCAAAAUGCAUAAGAAUCACUUGGACAACUAUUUCUGAGCUGCAAGCUGGCAAUGUCUGAGGCCCCCUCAAAGGAUAAUGUGAGUUCCCCUGAACAAUCUGGGCAACAGAUGUCAACCAGGGAGAAGAUGCUGGCAGUAGGGUUCCCGGGAGUUGAACAUCUGCCUGACCUCCUACUGGGCUCUUCUAAUGCUGCAGCCUAAGGUGGCAGCUGUGGCUGUAGUAGAUGAAAUUCAGAACAUCUGGGGCAUUCUAUGGAGGAGAAAGAAACAAGCUUCUGGAAGCAGCAACAUAGAAGAACAUUAAUUCUCUCCCCACCCAGUCUCACCUACAGAAAGAAAUGUAUUUCUUCCCUAGAGGCUGAGAUGUCCAACAUCAAGGAGGCGGCAGAUUCAGUGUCUGAUGAGGGCACACUUCCUGGUUUGUAGACAGCCAUCUUCUCACUGCAUCCUUACAUGUCAGAGGGGUAAAAGAUCUCUCUGGGGUAUCUUUUAUAAGGAAACUAAUGCCUUUCAUAUGGGCUCUGUGUUCAUGACCUAAUUGCCACC
rnacentral:lncRNA from 1 species